rnacentral:misc_RNA from 1 species
CAAGGGAGAGAAGAAGAGAACGUACUUCUCUUUCUCUCUCUAUAAUUGUCUUUCCUCCGAUCUCCCUCUAUAAGUAAUUAUUUAGAGCGGUUUUUGUGCAAUUUUCUUCUUCUUUCUGGUGUUGGCGGUUCCUAUUAUUUCUCCUAAUCGAUUUCUGCUGCCCUUCCCAUUUCUGGUUCCCUUACCCACUUGCACUCCAUCUUUCUCUACAAAAUCCCAUCUCUCUUUCCAAAUUCUACUAUCUACCCAUUUUGUUUUGUCUUGCUUUCCUUGAGCAUGGUAUUUUUAUGCCAGCAUUGAACUUUCUUCUCUGUUCUGAACAAUUUUUUGUUGUAGCUUUGUUUUUCCCAUUUCUAUUGGUUUUGCUUCCA